rnacentral:lncRNA from 1 species
GCCCGUGUGAAAUGCUGCUGGAUCCUUGUAGGGCCGAGUAUUCUGUUACGGAGUAACCAGAACAUGAGACGUGCCGAUCCAUGUGCAAAGCUUUUAUUAAAAGACGUGGUCACAAACACAGGCAGGGUCGAAACACCAGCGAACGGGUAUGGUACAGGCAAAACACAAGAGCAGUCCAGUAAACAGGCAUGGGUCGAUCGACGGUGAACAAUAUCCAACAGGGCAAGGCAAAGAGAGAUAAUCCAGGUACAUAGCAAUAAUCCAGGCAGGGGCAAACAGAGUCCGAAACAGCAAGACAAAAAGGGUAAUCCGAAAACACAGGCAAGAAUCUGAAAACAGGAAAACAGGCAAGGCGAGACUAUGACUAAACUAGCAAAACUGGAACCGGCUCCAUAAAGUGCUAUUACUAGGAGAGUAAUAAACGCAGACAAUACUUGGCGACUUGAGCAGGAUCUGGGUGGAUGUUAUAUAGUGUGUGUAAUAGCUUUCAGGUGAGCAUGUGAUUGGUUACAGCUGUGUGCAAUCAGUGCAAUGGAUGAUGGGAAAUGUAGUCCAGGGUAUAGUGUAACAGUCUGUGUAGUGUGAGAGUCCAUGCAGUGAGCGGGUGACCUAUGGUGGUGAGUGAACAGACGUUCAUAGACCAGAUUCAUGAAUGAAUAGAGCAUAUAUACAAUGUAAUCAGCUAUUGCCUGAUGCAGUUAACACUACUUUUCAAUAUAACUUCAAGACUUCCAUAUCAACCAAUAUAAUAUAAACAAAAAGUAGGCUACUACGUGCACCUUUAAAUACAGUUUAAAAAGAUACAUAUACAUAUACUGGUCUCAAAACACUAUACAAAACUUCUCUGAUCAGACAUAUUCUUCCACUGACCAAGCUAUUGUGUCCACAGGGGGAGAAGGGAAAGAAGGGCAAAAAGGGGCCUAAGGGGGAGAAAGGAGAACAGGGUGCCCCUGGAUUAGAUGCACCCUGCCCAUUGGGUCCAGAUGGACUCCCAAUGCCUGGAUGUUGGCAGAAGGGUGUCACGCCUUGGCUGGUGGCUUGAGAAAGUAAGAAUUGUGAUUGAUUGCUGGAUUUCUUUAUUGCAAAGAGGUCAGUGUGGCAACUGGCCCUCCAGCGCCUCGGUGUUGCUGUUGUGUAACUCUCACCUUGUAAUAAGAGUGACAACUUAAAGACUCAAAUUAUGGAAAUAGCAGGACACAAGAUGCAUCCACCAUCUGUGGCCGCUCGAGAGUAAGCAGGCAACUGAAACUCAGAAAUCUUUAUUAUUGGAUGGUGUACGUGAUGCAUGGAAAGUUGCUACAUUCAUCCCUCCAUCUGCAAACUUUUUUUUGUUCACUCUUCAGUGGGGUUCUUUUUGUAGCAGUGAGCUACACAGUCUGAUCUAUGUCUAGGAUGC